rnacentral:rRNA from 1 species
UACGGAGGGUGCAAGCGUUAUCCGGAUUUAUUGGGUUUAAAGGGUCCGUAGGCGGGCCUGUAAGUCAGUGGUGAAAUCUCACAGCUUAAUUGUGAAACUGCCAUUGAUACUGCAGGUCUUGAGUAAAUUUGAAGUGGCUGGAAUAAGUAGUGUAGCGGUGAAAUGCAUAGAUAUUACUUAGAACACCAAUUGCGAAGGCAGGUCACUAAGAUUUAACUGACGCUGAUGGACGAAAGCGUGGGGAGCGAAC